rnacentral:rRNA from 1 species
GUCCACCUCUUCCCAUUCCGAACAGAGCAGUUAAGCCCGGUAGCGCUGAUGGUACUGCCUUCACCGGUGGGAGAGUAGGUCGUCGCCA